UAUCUUGCCGAUCCUGUCCGUGACUCCGUGUAUGUAUGGGAGGCAAGCCCAACUCCUACGCUCAUCAUGCGUCUCUGUUGUCUCCGAGCGAUCUUCACUGUUUUUUGGUCGAAUUGCUCUAUUGAAAUCUUUCUUCCAGGUGUUUUAAUUCUCUCUCUAACUCGGCUGGUUCGCAGAUUCUUCUGGCUCUUUCGGUGAGAGUUUUGAUGACUCCUCUUUUCUGACGGGGAUGAUGGUUUGAACCACUGUGCAGGGUUCAUUGAGUUGAGGUGCCUCAGGAAGUCUUCAAGUUCAGUCAGACCAUCGCCCCAAACAACAAAAGUGUCAUCAACAUAGCGCAACCAACACUUGGGUUUCCUCACGGCUGUGUCCAGAGCGUUCUUUUCGAAUUUUUCCAUAAAAUAGUUGGCUAUCACUGGACUAAGAGGACUGGCAUACGUUCGCUGCCCGUUCAAACCGCAGAACAGAUAAGGGCCGAGACUUCAAGAAUUUUGCAACGCUCGAAGCCUCCGAAGAGCAACCUCACUUCCAGUGAAAGAAAAGCCCUGAAAACGCUGAAUGAGGAUAAGGAGAUUCUCGUGUUGCCAGCUGAUAAGCGCAAUGCAACUGUGGGCAUGUCUUCAUUGAACUACGAAGACAAAAUCAAAGAACUUUUGACCCCGUCAACGUA